GACGAACGCUGGCGGCGUGCUUAACACAUGCAAGUCGAACGGAAAGGCCCCUUUGGGGGUACUCGAGUGGCGAACGGGUGAGUAACACGUGAGUAACCUGCCCUUGACUUCGGGAUAACUUCAGGAAACUGGGGCUAAUACCGGAUAGGAAUCCUUGCUGCAUGGUGGGGGUUGGAAAGCUUCGGCGGUUUUGGAUGGACUCGCGGCUUAUCAGCUUGUUGGUGGGGUAGUGGCUUACCAAGGCUUUGACGGGUAGCCGGCCUGAGAGGGCGACCGGCCACAUUGGGACUGAGGUACGGCCCAGACUCCUACGGGAGGCAGCAGGGGGGAAUAUUGCACAAUGGGCGGAAGCCUGAUGCAGCAACGCCGCGUGCGGGAUGACGGCCUUCGGGUUGUAAACCGCUUUCAGCAGGGGCGAAGCUUGUGGUGACGGUACCUGCAGAAGAAGCACCGGCUAACUACGUG
rnacentral:rRNA from 1 species